AUAAAAAUAACCUGGAAAGAAAAACAACAAUGUAAACAGUUUAUACUCAUUUCCUUCCUUGGGUGUAGCUGCUUCUGUCCAUCACUGGAGGAUCAAAAACAUUAUAUAAAUAUUAUUAUUUGUUGUUAUUGUCAUUGUCAAUCCAGGUAGUGGAUGAGAUAAAAAAAAAGUAGAUAGGAAAAUUGUGGAAUUUUAUUGGAUUUAGAACUGGGAGGAAACUUUGAGAGCUGAUUUAAUCUAAGCCACAUGUUUUACAGAUGAAGAAACUGAGAUCUAGAGAACUGAAAUGAAUUGCCCAGGGUCACAUAAGUCCAACUUCAAACAUCAUUCUCCUGAUACCAUGGGGCAAAAGGGAGAAGAUUGAGAGUUGGAAGACUUGAAUUUGAAUCCCAGGCAUGAGGUACAUUGUAAAGGAAUCAAGGACACAAAAAAGUUAGUCCCUGGAUCCAUCAGAUAUUAUGGGAUCGUGUUGGGAAAGAAAAAUCCGAACAAAAGGAAAGGGCCACAAGAAAAAAAAAAAAACAAACAACAA